ACGGGGGUGAACUAACGCUCAGUGAGGCCAAGAAAAGCAUGCAAACAAAUAAGUUCAAGUAGCACUAAAGCUUAUACAAAAGAAAUAGCCAUCAAAUUCAAGUUAUUCACAAGGGAAAGUAAAACACAAUCAAUAAGGAUACUGAAACUCUCAGGAGCUAACUCCACACAAUUUGGCUAAGGCCUUGAUCCAAAUAUCCCACGUUGACUCUCCGUCAACCAAACAAGUAACAAAUCCGUAGACUCCACUUUCACCAAAUUUUCAUUCACCAUUACCGGGCCUGCACAUCAACUAGAAAAGACAAUACUACUCGAGUAUAUCAAGUAAGAUUUCAAAAGAUCACGUUUUAUGAUUUUCUCAUGGUUCGCCAAGCUUCUCGACCAAACCCAUGUCGCCUCGAGUCGCAAGGUUAGCCAAUGAGUUUAGGCGUCCCUCAUGAGUACAAGUAUAAUUUGUCGACGAGAUUUACUCCAAUCGACAUUCAAGUUCAAUUUCAAAACAAAUCAAGUUCAAGUAAGUCAAGUAACAAGUCAAGUAAAGGAGAGCGAGUGCGAUAAAAUACACGCUCGCCUCAUCAAGUCAUGUUCAUGUAUAUAAGCAAGAUCAAUCAAGUAGAUACAACAAUUCAUACACUUGACACUCACCAAGUCAAAAGCAAGUGAGCAAGUAAGGUCUUUAGUUGUUUGCACCGGGAUCCCUUUCAAAACCCUCUUGAGCACCUGAAAAAAUAGUGACCAACCAUCACUCACAUGCACUCUAGACCACUUAACAUUCAAGGAAGAAAAUGCACUUGCUUAAAACUUAAACAAUGCCUUAAAAGAGUUUCAAUUCAUCGAAAAUCGAGAUUCAAAAAAAUGAAGAUUUAAAAUCACAAGGGAAACUUGUAUCCUCCAUGAAAUUGAGUUUAAAAUGAACCAUCAAUCUCAAAAGAAAGGGGAAAGUUCAUAAAAGUUCGUUUCUUAAGAAAUCAGAACAUUUCAGUUUUACACAACAAAAGUUGGAAAAUCAUAUCUUGAGUUUGGUAAGUCCAAAAAUUGGAAACUUUACACCGUUGAAAACUAGAUUCAUAGUACUAAAACUUUCCAGAAGAACUUUUCCCAGAUUCUAACUAGAAGCCAUUCAAAUCUCAGCUUGAAAUUGCUGUUUCAUGAAGACAGGGCAGAACCAGUUCUUGUUUUUCAGCAAAGUUUGAAAAUUCGGUAAAAUUCAUAGUUAUUGAAAUAACCUCUAAAAUUUAUAACACAACAAGAGUUUCAAGUAAAGUUUCAAACACACAAGCGGAACUAAAUUCAGAUUUUUAAACAACAAGAUACAACAGUUUGAAGAUGGCUGGAUUUCACAGCCUGUUCAACAAUUUUCUAGUUUUCAGCUUUGACACAGUUUUGAAAUCAGACCAUAUCUAACUCUACACAAGUCCAAAUUGAGAAUGGUUUAAGGCGUUAGAAACUAGAUUCAAAAUUCUUCAAAUCAUCGAAAGACAUCAUUUACAAACUCCAUUAACAAGUGAGACGAAAAUAAGCCACAAGAUACAGUUUUCCAGUUUCCCUCGGAUAAACAGGUAAAACAGGUCAGUCAACUUUGCCGAUUCGCUAAGGCUCACUAAAAACAAACUCACAGGGAAAUUUUAUAUCAUUUGAAAGCACUUGGUGUCUAGUUUCAAAUGCCGCAAACGUCACUCAAUUUUGACUUUUGUACAAAGAAUUAUGCUCAAAGUACCAGUGGCCAGCUGGCCUGAUAGCAAAUUUCUAGAUUUCUUCCCUUUCAAAAACCUUAGUUUCAUGUAACCAAUUGAAAUGAUUUUUGAAAGGCAAUUUUCACACGCAUAAUACAACAUAUAACAAGCAUUUUAGUAGCCAUAUAAGCAACAAAAAUUUGAAAUCCAAGCAAGACAUCAAAACUGAAAUUUCGGCCAGCUCUCUCUCAAGUGUUUCUUCCACUUCCUCUCCUCUUAUCAAGCCAAAAUCAAUUCCCUCAUCACAUAAAUAACAACAAUCAAGUGAAAGAGCCUCAAGUCAGCUACCUAAAGGCCACCUCAAGACCACUAGCCUAAGAUAUAAAGUAAGAAAUAAAAGUUUCCUCAAGUUCACUAGUCUAGAAUCUUGAUUAGGGUUUCAAGUCCAUGUAAACCAACCACCAAUCUUUGUAAAAAUUGAAAGGUUAAAGAGGGAUGAAGGGUUUACCUUUCCAAGCACCUAAACCCUAGUUGUAAGCAAGAGUUUCCACCAAAACUUCACCAAGAAACACCACAAGCUUGCACCUUUCUUCUAGCUAGAGUGAAAUUCCAAGAGAUUUGUGGGUUGGAUGAAAAUUACCAAGCAAGAUUGGAGCAAAAGAUGAAAUUUUCUCUUCCCCCUUUUCUUCCUUUGUGUUCGGCCGAGAGGAUGAGAGAGUAAGGGAGUGUUUGUGUUGUGAUUCUUGUGGAGGAAGAAUGAAGAAAAAGCUAGCCAUAAAUUGUGCAAAAAGUCAACUUUCAAUAGUGGCAAAAUAGUGUCGUGCACUACCACUUUCUCUCUUUUUGAUACACUUAACUACUAAUCCUCCAAGGUAGUUCCUCUAGCACUACAAUUACUCAUACGUAUUAGUUUAGUAUUAAAUCCUCAAAUCUCCAAUUAGUUGCGCUGAUGCGACUUUCGAGAAACUUUCGACGCACAUGCGAUAAAAGCUUAAUUUAAGAAAAAUUCAUGCAAAAUAGUAAAAUUAAAUAAUUCUAAGGCAAAAUAAUUAUAAAAUAGACUAAAGUAUGAAUAAAAACAUGAGUCCUCACAUUUGGUAGUUAUAGUACUUAGGGUGGUUGUAAAUAUGGGAAAAAUGAUGGGUUGAAUAGUGUAAGUGGGAGGUUCUAAGUUUGAGAUCUCCCAAUUACAUUAAAAGAAGUUAAAAAUGGGUGGUUGUGAGUAAUUAUAUUGGCAAAAUAGAUUAUUAGGAUAAAAAUUAAUUCUUAUACGAGUAAUAUUAAAAGUUCAAAAGAUGACAAAAGUGUUAACACUAAUUGCCAUUAUUUAGAUAUUAUAUAUUGUAUUGAAACUAGUGGGAAAAAGACAUCAGGUAGGUGUACAAAUUAAGAAAAAUUAAGUUGUUUUUAUUAAAAUCAAUAGAAGUUAUUCUUUUGUUAAAAAAAAAUUAUGACCUUUUUGACAAACAACUAAAAAACAAAUAGAAGUUAUUGGGUGUGAGUGAAAGUUACUAGAAGUUACAAAAUUAAGUGGUUAUACUUAGUAAAUCUUUACUUUUUAUGGGGGUAAAAUUAAAAAAAUAAAAAAAAAUGAAACAAAAGUUUAACACCAAAACCCCUCCUCAUGCUUUAUAUAUAGAAAGAUAUCUUCACAAUAUGUAAAGAGGGAGUCGUGGUGAUUGGUAUAACUAAAUAUUUUUUCUCAUAUUUUAAACUUUUAAUUUUACCUUUGGAAAAACUAAUUUUUUACCCUAAACAUGAGAAUGUGUUUGUUUGGACUGAAAACCUUUUCCAGAAAACAUUUUCCAUAUUUUCUUGUAUUUGGCUACAAUUUAUCUGGAGAAAAUAUUUUUUAUGAGAAAAUAUUUUACUUCAAAAGAUGGAAAAUAACUAACCUCUCCAACUUACUGGAGUUAUUUUCCAUAAAAAUGAGCAACUCUCCUGCCCAUUAAGAUGAGUGUGCGGAAACAAAGGACCGAUGACAAGUGCCGAACCUGUGCAAUAAUAAUAAAUAAAACCUAACUACCACCUGAAACAGUCAAUAAUCAAUUCGAGUACUAGAGCAGAGACUCUAGGUGCGCAAUGGGUUACUUGAUUCACCCUGUUCCCGAAGAGUUUGCUUAAUCCGAUAUACCUGAAUUAAUUAUUUAACUGAAUUCACUAACUAGUAGACAGUGGCAAGCAUGGUCGUCUCUUCAGGGACUAGCGAGAAACUUAUUCCUUUUCGAAUCAAGACAAAUGGUGGUUUUCACAAUUAAAUGCUAAAAAUAAAUUAACUGCAGAAAAUAAUUAAUUUAAAGAAAUAAUUGGAGAAACUCUAGCCAAGGGUACACUUCAGAAAUGGUUCAUGCACUGAUCAUUGAUUCACAGAUAAUUCCAACAUUUAUUAAUAGAUUAGUUAUAGUUGUCAUGCACGCGAUAAAAAACCAACCCUUCCUUAAUUUCUCGAUAGCCAAGGUACGACCAUUAGCUAUUUCUCUAAUCCAAAAAUAACCCUAGGUACGACCGUAGGAUUUAAUUUCUAGAUUGCAUUAAUAAUUAGAAAGGCCCAAUCCUAACCAACAAACACGCUACGAGGGUUCGUUUAGGUUAGAUCAUAUGUUUUCCUGACAUAAACCCAAUUACGUCAAUUGCUACUAAGAUAGAGAUAACGAACAAUUACGGAUUCAAUUACCCCUAUUUAGCAAAAAUAGCCUAUAUGGAUAAUUAAUUAUUGCGCACUAAUCAAUCAUACACAAGGCCAUAGCAAUUAAAAUCAAUGAACAUAUAAAUAUCAAUAAAUGAAGAAAAUAAUUGAAAACAGUUUAGAUCUCACAAUAAUUGCUGAACCAAUUCGUCAGUUGCCCCCUUGACUAGAAUUAGGAGUUUAGCUCCCCAUAAUUAAGGAACAGGCCAUGUGGAUAGGGUUAGAAGAAGCCAUCGAUUCCUUAAUCACAGCAAACGAAAGAAAUUAGCCCUCGUUCAAUCCGAUCAACCGAAGAGAGAAUAGGGGACAAUUGAUUAUCGUUGCUUUCGAUUGUCCUCCAAUUCUAACCACACAGAGAGUAUGCACUCUCAAUUUAAUUUGGUCAAAGCCAAAAUGGAAGGCAAUGUCCAAGAUCCACAAUUGCGGUUACUCUUUGUUUCCUCCCUUUCCUCACAAAACAUACGAGAAAGAUUUUCAAUUGCUUGAUUUCUCGGUCAAGGCUAAUCAAAAGCCACAGAAUUCCAAAGUCAACAAAAGAUGAAAAGCAAUAUAAAGUCAAGAAUGGAAGCUUUUGUCCCCUCUGAUGGUUUCUCUCCAGAGCCACAGCCCGCCUCCAAAUCAAAAGCUAGAACGAACUUCCCAAGACCUAAGCCGCGCGAGAGAUUUAUUUCUCCCUCUGUAGUUGUCCGAAGUUCAAGGAAGGGAUUUUCCCUUCUUUUUUGGAAAUUGUUAUUUUUUCAAAAUUAAAACAGGACUCCCCCCAAAAUAAAAUAAAAUAAUGUCUAUUACAAUUAAGUUUCUUCAGCUUCUCAAGCGAACCCCAGUACUUGAAGUGGCUCCCGUGCGACGAAUCUUCUAAAUUUCGAUUUUAAGCACUUUUCAGUACCAAUUCCUGCAGUUAGUACCAAAACAAAAUAUCAAUAGAAUCCACCCAAUUAAUGAAAAUAUUUAGUCAAAUAAUUGUGCAAUAAUGCCCAAAAUACCCCACUAAAAUGCACCCUAUCAAUCUCCCCCACACCUAAACUAUGCUUGCGCUCAAGCAUAAUUAACUCAGAAGUACAAUAGAGAUACCAAGCAAUCUACAGCAGUUCAUACCAAAAAUGGCAUUCCAAAUUCCCGAAUAACCUCAUCAAAAUCAGAAUAUACCAAAUCAACAAUGCUUACAGUUCAAAGUGCACUCAUUCACUCCAAAGUGUAUGGGAUAUGUAUAUAAGAUGGCUCUCAAAUCAACACAAUAGAAUGACACUACCAUAAGCUUGCUCAUAUAUCAUAUCGCCACCACUUACUGAUGAAUUUAAAUGCAACAAUCAAGGGACUUUGCAAUAUUGUAAUGGGAUUAGGGUGAGAAGGUAGGAUAAAAAAGGAAUCAAAAGGGUGUAAAAGUAUAAAGAAAGUGCUCAGAAACUCAUUACACAGAUUCUUGUACAUUGGGAACUUCAAGGCACCUCAACCAUCCCUCAAGCGAAGUAAAAAUUGGCACUUGCCACAACUUUCGACUUUUCUUUCUCCUCUUUUCAUUCAUCUACUUCCCCUCUUGCUUUUUUUUUUUCUUUUUUUUUCUUUUCUUCUUUUCUCUUUUUUUUUCUUUUGCUUGUUUUUUUUUUCAAUAACUCCCAACCAGCACCAUAAAAAUCAACUUUACUUGUUGAUUUCCCGCACUUUGUCUUCUUUUCACAUUUUUUAUUUUUCUUCUUUUUUUCUUUUUUUUCUUUCCAUAGAUAUGUGUAAUGUCUCUCAAAUAAUACUCCAAAUUUUCAUGUAAUGAAAUCAAAGCACUUCUUCACAUGGGGUUCAAAAAGAAAGUCUAAAAAGAGGUUUUACGGUUAAAAACUAGGGUUUCAAGCGAAGAAUAAGGGUUAAGGCUCAACUUGGCUCCCUAAUGGUAAAUAAGCUAAAGGUUGUUUUUUUUUUAGAAAGUCCAAAAACGGCUCAAUCCUAGGUGCCCUAUCAUUUCAAUGCAUUAAACUCAUUUAAAUGUGGUCUUGACAUGCAUAACCAAGCAAGUUCUAGAAUGACAAACCAUGUGCACUAAUCACUCAACAAACGAAAAAUUAGGCUAAAAAAUUGCACAAGUGAUCAAAUUGAUGUCAAGUUUAGCACAUUCAUCAAUCAAUUCAGUAUCAAGGAAAGUAGAACACCCCAUGGCAUGAACUUACUACUUAUACUCAUAUCUCAAUUGCAUUCAUCACCAUUUAAAGAAAAGAACUACUAAGGCAAGGAAAAAUUUAAUCAGACAACUAAAAACACAGCUAAAGUAUAGUUAACCCUCCAAAGCAUAGUUAACCAUCCCCCACACCUAAAUCUUACAUUGCCCUCAAUGUAAGCAAAGAAAUAUCAAAAUAGAGGUAUUGGGGCAACGACACUUCCCUUAAAAACGGAGGAGGGCAGAUAUGAACUACGGCUGUGGAGGGAAGGGCGGGCGGAAACCCACGUGAUGGAGAUAUUGCACUAAAUUCUGGGCAAUUCCGGCCAUUUGACGCUCCAUUCGCUCCAAACGAGUGUCCAUGUGCUGCAUCUGGAAUCGAAGGGUUGCAACCUGGCUAUCGGUGGAGGAAGACGGUGAAAGCACUGAAGAGGAUGGUCCGGGGCCCUCCCGGCCCAGUUGAGGGGGCAGGUCCCCCUAAGGGGACUGUAGGCUGUGGGGUGGAGGUGGAAAGUUUGCUCUUGCCCUUGUUUUUGGGUUUAGUCAUUGGAUAUCAGUAGACAAGACAAAGGCGAGGUGAUGGUGUUCAAAAUAUGUCAACAAACAGCCAACAAAGCAAAUAAUUCCCAGUCACAGCUCCCAAUCACAAACAAGUGUAGAAACGGACAAUAAACUCACCCCAAAAACUAACUAAUCCAGUGAACAACAAAAUAUUCCCCAAAUACAACCAAUUCAACCCAAAAACCAAUUAAUUAGACAAACACAGCAAAAUUCCCCCAAAAACUAAUUAAACAGGCAACCGGAGUAAAAACUCUCCCCAAAUAUCAUUGGUUGAGCACACAAUUUGACAAUUAGUCAGCAAUCAACCACAGAUAUAUCACAGCACCAAAAUCAAGCAAGAAAUUGACAAUCUGGCCUCAACUAAGAAAGUAAUUCUGGCAUCAACUAAUAGAGAACUAAUAAUCUGGCCUCAGCUACUUAGUGAUAGAAAAAUAGAGAAAGAAAUCACCGGAGGUUUUGAGUAGGCAGUGGGUGAAGUAGAGAGCAAGGGUGACAACAUGGUGGAGGGAGGCAACGCGCGUGAGCUAAGGCGCAGGAGGGCUCACGAAUUGCGCCUGGUUCGCUCGCGCAAGAAGGAAACGCGGCUGCGAGGUCGCGUCUGGGCUCGCCAGUGUGCGAGUUGUUGCAUUCGGGGUGCGGGUGACGCGCGCUGAGCAGCUCGCUGUGGUCACGCUGGUACCUGCUGGGUCGCGCGCGCCUGGGUUGGAGCGCGUACUGCUGGGUUGCGCGCGCUGGAGUGAGCAGAGACUGGUGCGGUGGCUGGUUGGGCGAGCGGCGGCGUGCGACGAGGUUGUCCGCUGGCGUGCAGGCAAAGGGGGAAGAGCGAACGAGCUGGGGUGCGCAGGUGAGGUCGCGGGGUGGCCGUGGCGCGAUGGGCGGCGGCGGACUGCGCGAUGGGCGGCGUCGGGCAGCAAGUAAUGGCGGGGAAGCAGGAGAAAAAAAAAAGAAAAGGAAGAAGAAAGAAAAAGAAAAGAAAGGAGAAGAAAGCAAAUAGGGCUACGGGCCUUUGAAAAUAUUUUUUUCUCUUUUUCUUUUUCUUUUUUUUUGAGUAAGGGAAAUUUCGUCUUUUUUUUUGCCCACUUUUCUUUUUUUUUAAUUAAAUAUAGUCAACAAAGAACCUGUGUCUAGGGCAUGGGCACGCCUAACCGCCCUCUAGUCUUCUGACCAUCCGUCAAAGUUUUUUAUCCUCAAGCGCGACUACCUGACGUGGGUACGCUUAACUGCUGUAGAAUCUUCUGACUAAUCUUCAGAAAUUGAGUUCUUCAAGCGCGACCACCUGGCGUGGGCACGCUUAACUGGUAUAAAGUCUUCUGACCGUCGCCUUCCAACUCUUUUCCUUAGACGUGACCACUUGGCUUGGGCACGUCUAACUGCCAACUUCCUGUCAUAAAAUAACAACCCACUAAAUGACACUAACACUUAAUAAAAACUUCAAAAAUAUAAGAAAACUAAAACAAAAGAAACUUUGGGUUGCCUUCCAAGCAGCGCCUUUCUUUAAUGUCUUUGGCUAGACAUAGCACUACUCUUUAGUCUGGAUGUAAUUGAAUUUUCCUUGUAAUUGGUGGCCUUCCUCCGGGAUCCACGUGGCCAUUGAGUGCAAUUUUUUUCCUAAAUUUUCUCUCCAUUUUCACCUCAUGAAUUGCUUUCAUCCUAUAAAACUUGGUCGCAGCAACCUUGAAUUUACCGUUACAAGCAAACUUAGAAAAUUCUUGCACAGAGGGAUUAGUGGCAUAAAUAGCAAACACAGACUGAGAGUUAACAGAAUGUUUCAUUGUAUCAAAAAUAUUAAAGUGGACUAUUUCUCCAUCAAAUUUCAUCGUGAGAGUACCCUUACUAACAUCAAUUUAGUCUGGACAGUACUCAAAAAUGGUCUUCCUAAUAUAAUGAGUGAUGGAUUUGGGGCACUUCUAUCAUCCAUGUAAAGCACAUAAAAAUCAGUAGGAAAAAUUAAUCCAUCUACUUGCACUAAAACAUCCUCAAUUAUCCCAUCCGAAUAAGCACAUGUACGAUCAGCCAAUUGAAUUAUUAUCCCCGUUUCUUUUAAUGGUUCUAAAUUUAAGAAAUCAUAUAUUGACUUAGGCAUCACAUUAAUAGAAGCCCCUAAAUCUAUCAUGGCAUUUUUGAUACUAGAAUGUCCAAUCUUACAGAGAAUAGUAAACAUACCUGGAUCCCCGCAUUGGGGUGGAAGUUUCCUUUGAAGUACAGUUGAUACAUUCUCUCCUACCAUCACUCUCUCAUUACCCCUUAGUUUUCUUUUGUUAAUGCACAAGUCUUUCAAGUACUUUGCGUAUUUGGGUACCUACUUGAUCACGUCCAAUAGUGGGAUGUUUACUUGAACUUUGCGGAACACAUCCAGGAUUUCUUUUUCCCUUUCUGCCAUCUUUGUCUUUUCCAACCUGCAAGGAAAAAGAGCUAGAUUGGAUUUAAUAGGGAUUGAAGGAAUAGAUGUUACCUUAGGGUCUUCGCGAAUGCGCCCUUCCUCUUCGAUUUCCUUUUCUAUCUCCUCCUCACUUUUGCUUUUGAAUUUUUCACUUUAGACCCUUCCAGUUCCUUGCCACUCCUCAGCGUCAUGGCACUUACAUUCCUGGGAUUUGCCUCGGGUUGCGAUGGCAGUUUCCCAUAAACGUGGGACUCCAAGCGGUUGAUGGCAGUUGCCAGUUGGCUUAUUCGAGCAUCUUGGUCCUUCCUGUCCGCUUUGGUGUCUUGCUGGAGUUGCGCGGUAUUCGCGGCCAAGGAUCUGAUUUCCUGUUGAAGCUGAGUAGUAGUCGUGGCCAGACUUUUGACAAUGUCCUCCAGGGAGCUUCCUGAAUUGGAGGACGAGGGUUGAGAUUUUGGUUGCCAUGGCUGGUGGAAUCCUGGUGGACGAUUCGGGAAUGGAUUUUAUUGCCUGUUUCCAUAACUGAAAUUGGGAUGGUCCCUCCAGCCCGAGUUGUACGUAUCGGAGUACGGGUCAUACUGUCUGCGGGGCGCGGGCACGCAUCCGGCCAUGUUUACCUGUUCCGCCCUGUCCUCUUGCAAAAUAGGGCACGUGUCCAUGCAAUGGUCCAUGCUAGUGCAGAUUUCACAUACUUUCGCUCGCGACGUGUCUCUCAUGGCUAAUUACCUAACAGCGUACGUCAACUCUGACAGUUGCUGCUGGAUGGAUGACGUCUUUACCUCGUUGACUCUACGGGUAGGGUUGCUCUCACGGAAGCCAAAUUGCUGAGAGUUCUCUGCCAUGGCUUCGAUAAACUCCCACGCUUCCUUCGAUAUUUUGUUUGCCAGUGCUCCCCCACUCGCAGCAUCAAUGAUACUCCUAUCAGUUGAUUGGAGCCCUUCAUAGAAGUAUUGGAUUAACAGUUGUUCACUAAUUUGAUGCUGCGGGUAUCUAGUGCACAACUUGUUAAACCUUUUCCAGUAUUCAUACAAGAACUCCCCGGGAUACUGUUUAAUGCUACAGAUCUCCUUCCUCAAACUCGCAGCUCGGGAUGCAGGGAAGAAUUUUUCUAAAAACUUCUUUUUCAACUGUGCCCAUGUGGUAAUACUACCUACUGGUAGGUAGUAUAGCCAAUUUUUAACUGCAUUCUUGAGAGAGAACGAAAAGGCUCUCAGUCUAAUUUGCUCUUCAGUGACCCCAGGAGAUUUCAUACUAGAGCAAACCACCUCAAACUCUUUGACGUGUUUGUGGGGUUUUUCGCCGGAGAGACCAUGGAAAGAAGGUAAGAGGUGAAUCAACCCUGACUUUAACUCGAAGGCUGUAUUUUCUACCAAAGUGGAGAAUGUGAUACACAAGGGCUGGUGAGUCAAUUCCGGGGCAGCCAACUCCCUUAAUGUCUGGGUGUUGGCCAUGCUAAAUUCGUCUUCUACUGACUCGUUAGCAGUAGACAAGUGCACUGCUUUCCGUUUCUUGGUCUCUUGCUUUCAUCUACGCACUGCCUUCUCAAGCUCAGGAUCGUAUAUCAAUUCACUGUGCGAGAAGAAUGGGGCAUAAACUAGAAAGAAUACCAAGCAAAAGAAGAAAAAAAAAUUGAACUAAAAAAGAAAUAAAUAUUUCAAAUGCCAGUCCCCGGCAACGGCGUCAAAAAUUGACAGGUGCCGAACCUAUACAAUAAUAACAAAUAAAAUCUAACUACCACCUGAAACAGUCAAUAAUCAAUUCGAGUACUGGAGCAGGGACUCUAGGUGUGCAAUGGGUUACUUGAUUCACCCUGUUCUCGAAGAGUUUGCUUAAUCCGAUAUAUUUGAAUUAAUUAUUUAACUGAAUUCACUAACUAGUGGACAGUGGCAAGUAGGGUCGUCUCCUCAGGAACUAGCGAGAAACUUAUUCCUUUUCGAAUCAAGACAAAUGGGGGUUUUCACGAUUAAAUGCUAAAAAUAAAUUAACUACAGAAAAUAAUUAAUUUAAAGAAAUAAUUGGAGAAACUCUAGCCAAGGGUACACUUCAGAAAUGGUUCAUGCAUUGAUCAUUGAUUCACAGAUAAUUCCAACAUUUAUUAAUAGAUUAGUUAUAGUUGUCAUGCACGCGAUAAACAACCAACCCUUCCUUAAUUUCUCGAUAGCCAAGGUACGACCGUUAGCUAUUUCUCUAACCCAAAAAUAACCCUAAGUAUGACCGUAGGAUUUAAUUUCUAAAUUGUAUUAAUAAUUAGAAAUGCCCAAUCCUAACCAACAAACACGCUACGAGGGUUCGUUUAGGUUAGAUCAUAUGUUCCCCUGACAUAAACCCAAUUACGUCAGUUGCUACUAAGAUAGAGAUAACGAACAAUUAUGAAUUCAAUUACCCCUAUUUAGCAAAAAUAGUCUAUAUGGAUAAUGAAUUAUUGCGCACUAAUCAAUCAUACACAAGGCCAUAGCAAUUAAAAUCAAGAAUCAUAUAAAUAUUAAUAAAUGAAGAAAAUAAUUAAAAACAGUUUAGAUCUCAUAAUAAUUGCUGAACCAAUUCGUUAGUUGCCCCCUUGAUUAGAAUUAGGAGUUUAGCUCCCCAUAAUUAAGGAACAGGCCAUGCGGAUAGGGUUAGAAGAAGCCAUUGAUUCCUUAAUCACAGCAAACGAAAGAAAUUAGCCCUCGUUCAAUCCGGUCAACCGAAGAGAGAAUAGGGGACAAUUGAUUAUCGUUGCUUUCGAUUGUCCUCCAAUUCUAACCACACAGAGAGUAUGCACUCUCAAUUUAAUUCGGUCAAAGCCAAAAUGGAAGGCAAUGUCCAAGAUCCACAAUUGUGGCUACUCUUUGUUUCCUUCCUUUCCUCACAAAACAUACGAGAAAGAUUUUCAAUUGCUUGAUUUCUCGGUCAAGGCUAAUCAAAAGCCACAAAAUUCCAAAGUCAACAAAAGAUGAAAAGCAAUAUAAAGUCAAGAAUGGAAGCUUUUGUCCCCUCUGAUGGUUUCUCCCCAGAGCCACGGCCCGCCUCCAAAUCAAAAGUUAGAACGAACCUGUGACGCCCCCACUUCUCCCUAAGGCGAACCAAAGGGUAUCCGCGGGACGCCUGCCUAACUCUCGCCAGGACUCAAGUAAUUCCAUUCAAGCUUAUUAUCACUCUACCCAACACACGUAAAUAACUUAAAUACAGAAAAUGCGAAAGCGUUCAAUCUUAACAAUAGUCAUCCAUUAUCCAGCCCGCACGUCGGGUGUUCAAAGUACAUCAUAAUUCUCAAAUAUACCUCACGCCCCAAAAGUUACAUUUCAAUUCCAAAAGUACAAUCCAAAACCAAGGGCAUAGUCAAAAUAUAAUAGAAAUCCUAAACAAAAACUCAUCAGGAGGUUUUUUUCCAGUACGCCUCCGAUUUCAAAUCUGUUAAGGAAAACAAAUCUAUAGGGUGAGCAAAACGCUCAUGAGGCCAAAAACACACAUGCAGGCACAUAGUUCAGGUAACAAGCCCAAGUAACAGUUCAAGUGAUAACUUGCAAGUAAUUAACAAUGCCAACAAAAUGUAAACAGAAACGAUUCAAGGAUAUGGUAGCUCUCAAGAGCUAAGUUCCACUUGCUUUGCCAGUUCAUUCGUAUAUCUUCCCGUGAUGACUCUCCGUCAAUCGGGUUGAUAUUUCCAAACCGUAGAUCACCACUUACUUCUCAUCCGUCCACCAUACACCGCUUCGGGCCCGCACGACAUUUAUGAGGCAAUACUCCACGAGUAUGCCAAGCAAGAUCUCUCCAAUAGAUCAAGCUUAUCAUGUGAAUCUCAUGGCUCACCGAGGUUCCCGACCAAGCCCAUGCCGGCUCGAGUUCCAAGGUCGGCCUAUGAGUUUGGGCGUCCCCCAUGUAUCAUGUAAGUGUCGAGGAUAUUCACUCCAACGACGUAUGCAGCCAUAGCAUACCAUAUCAUGUAUUCAAGCAUUUGACAGGUCUAAGCAUGUAUUUCAGGUCAUGUAAAUCAGGCAAACCAUGUUAAGCAUGAAUCAUUUGUUUCAAAUGAGAACGAGUGCGAUAAAGUACACACUCGACUCCAUUUUUCAAAACCAAGUAGGCUAAGCAUGUAAUCAGGUAAGCCAAGUAUGAAUCAAGUCCAUAGAGUUCAAAUAGUCAUACACUUGACACUCACCGAGUAAAUCAAGAAGAAAUAUUUUCUCGAAGUUCAAGUGUGCACGGUAGGAUCCUCUUGAAGGUCAUCGUGUGCGCCUAGGCAAAUAAUAACGUAUUAUCAUUCAUAUAUCCAAAUUAUCAAGGAAGAUUGUGCACUAGUACAAUCUAAGGAAAUUCUACGAAAUCGAAUCUCAAUUACUCUUAAAUCAAGGUUCAAUUAGAGUUUCUUAAAGUACAGGAGCAUUUGGGUUUUUAUCUUGGAAAUCGAGGUUAAAAUGUUUGCAUAAUAUCGAAAGAAUAAAAAGUUCUUGGAAAUUUCUAUUUCCUUGAAAGUUGGAAAAUUUCAGUUUUGAUAUGGAUCUUUAAAAAAUCGUAUCCCACUCGAUACAAGUCUAAAAUUGGAAAAAUUUAUACCGUUGGAAACCUCUUGGAAAUUACUAAAAGUUCUUAGAAGACACUGUUCCACGAAUCUAAAUGGAAGGUAUUCAAAAAUGAGUUUAAAGUUGCUAUCCCAGAUCACCCAGGAUUGAGCCGGGGUUGGUUUUUCGCUAACUUUGGAAAUUCAGCAGAAUUCACUCGUUGCAAACCAGCCCUUGAAAUUUAUAGCUCAAUUAGAGGUACAAGUAAGGUUUAGGACAGAACAAAUGGAUCGAGAAUCGGAGUUUCGAGCACCAAGAUAUGGUAGCUCAAAGUUGGGAAAAAUUCAAGACUGUUACAAAAUUUCCAGAUUUGGUUCCGACUUUGGACCUUUUGUUAAGUGUCGAAACGGACUUGAAUUGACACCAAAUUUUGCAUUAUGGUACUCCUAUAUGAAGGGUAUUUCUCUAUCAAAUUUCAAUCUGUCCAAAUCUAAGAUUUUAAAAAAUGAGGCAGUCGCCGUAUUUUGAUCAUAACUCCCUUAAUUUAACUCGGAAUUGGGAAUGGUUGAUAGUGUUAGAAAAUAAAUUCACAGGGAUAAAAUUUCACAGAAGAAAUCGUUUCAAGUUUCAGCAUGCAACUGGUUCGAAAUUAAGCCUAAAGUCGCAGCAUCAUCAAAUCAUUUCGGCAGAACGGAGAAACAGGACAGCUGAAUUCAGAUGAAUGGUGCGGUUCACACACAUGGAACCAGAAUGUACAUUAUACACCGUUGGAAACAUGGGAACGUCUAGUUUCAAAUGCCGCUAACGGUACUCGAUUUCGACAUCGGAGUACGGAGUUAUGGACGAAACACGAACACUUGUCUGGUUACGACGGCAACCGUUUCCAGAUUACUAACUUUGGAAAAUAAAUUCUUUUGAUCAACCAAAACUCAAUAUUUUUCAACGAAAUUUUGUACACAACUUCUACAACAUGUAAACAACACAAUCAAGCCAUUAAAUCCUCAAAUAUCUGCAGUAAAGUGGCCGAACAACCAGGGGCAAAAUGGUCAAACUUGGCCAUUGCACUCAACGUGAGUUUCCAGCAGUUUUCCUUCAACAAAUCACUAACUUAAACACUGAUCCGAUAUCAUAAACUUCAUCAAGCACAAAAUCAGCAACAACCCAAGAGUGGGAAUUCAUAGAGCCCACUUUUUUUCCAACAAUACAAGCUACUAAAGUGAAGAUUUCAGCUCAAAUGCAUAAAUCAACCUCCAUAAGACAAGUUUAAGGUAGUUGAUCAUUACCUACUUUGAUGGUUGUUUAAAUCAGAAAAUUUCGGUCCCUUUGAAGCCUGAAGAAAACCGUGAAGCUCCUCCCUUUUUCAGCUUAAAGUGUUGUCCAAGUGUAGAGUUAAGUGUAUGUGAAGUUUUGGUUGAAUCUAUGGAGGUUUUGGUAGUGAUUUGGUGAAUUUGUAGAAGGAAUGGUGAAGCUGUUACGGCUGAAGCUAUCCGUCCAUUGCAGCUAGAAGAAAUGAGAUGCGGUUCUGGUUUCCUUUGCGUACAAAAGACGCUUGACGUCUAAUAUUUUAAAUACGUCAAAUCAAUUACAACUAGUGCCCUACGCGCGCGUUUUGUGUUCGAUUGCUCUUACGUUUGUUGCACUAGUGCACUAAACCUCUAAGGUACUUACAUUCAUAUAAAUAUUAUUCAUUCUUAAUUGUCCCAAAAUAAUGGUUCAAAGUCCCUCAAUUAAGGGCGCAUGUGAAAACACGUAUUUCUAAUUUAGGCGCAAUAAAAUUGAAAUCUUUGAGAAAUUCUUAUAACGAUCGUACCACUAGCUAUCACUUGUGUGUUUAAACCUAAAAUUGUCUAUUUUAGGACCAUUGUAUAUGUCUCAAAUUUUUGAGCUUAUUUUAUUCCCAAUUGGCUAAAGUGUUUGGACACGUUUUCACCUUUUCACUAAACAAGCUUAUAAGAAAAUAAUUUUUGAAACGAGACACUUUAAAAAUAUAACGAAACUAUAAAAUCAUGUACUUAGGUCUAAUAAGGCUAGAAAAUAUUAUUCGUGGCAAAAAUCUAAAUAAUUAAUUAAUUUAGCCAAAAUUAGGGAUUUUAAAAUAAUAAUUUUACGAGUCCUCACGUGAAUUGAGUAUUAAUACCUCCAUUAACCUUUGUUAAUCUAUUAUUGAUCGUUCUUAAUUCUCCAAUAAAUAAUACACUCCCGAUUCAAGUAUGGCCUAGAAAAACGUGCACCCGUCGUUCCGGACUAAACAAAUUUUCGAAAAGCGAAUUUUUCAACAAAACGCUUUAAAAAUAUAAGGAGGCGUCAUUCCAUAUAAAUGGAUUUAAAAUGGUCGAAAUAAAUAAUUCGAAGAAAAUGAGUGAAUAAUCAUUUAAAUAUUCCAGUAAUAUUCUAUAAAAAUAAGAAAAUUUUCGGGUUCUCACAUCCUCCCCUCCUUGAAAGGAAUUUCGUCCUCGAAAUUUAUACUUAGAACAAUAUCAUUCCCUUCAUGGUUAAGCCUAUCAGAUCAAUCAUUGACUUACGUUUUCCAACUCACUCCAAAUCAUGAGUUGAUUACUUUCUUCCGGAAGAUUUUAACUUUCAGAAGGCAUAUACAAUCACCUCAUCAUAUAUUAUUAAUAUACAUUCUAAACCAUCCUUUGAACCAUCUGUAUAAAUCACAAAAUCACCUUAUCCGCACGGUAAAGCCAACACAAGUGCACUGGUUAAAUGAUUUUCACCUUCAAAUUCUUCCUCACAUUUAAAAUCUCAAAUAACUUGCCAAGUCUCGUAUCCUUAGAAGUCCCUGAUCAAACCAAGGUAAUAUUCGACUACCUCUAAGAACUCCAAAUUUCGGUAGGAUUUUCUGGUCAUUUCCUCUUAAACAGCUUCCACUUAAGCUGAGUUAACAACAAUUUCUUCCUUAGAUAUUAUAUAACUUAGAAAGGCUAUUUCUUCCCAUCGAACUCACAUUUAUUGAACUUAACAAAAGUUAGCGUUCUCUCGGGGUUUGUAAAACUACCAUCAGGUAUUAUUUUUUUUUCAUGAUCUUCUCAAACUUUAGGGUAUAUCAAUACAUCAUCAAUAAAUGCCAUCACAGAUUAAUCCUAUUACGAUUUAAAACCUUGAUGCAUUAAUGCAAUAAUUGCUGCUAAUACAUUAGUCAACCCAAUUGGCAUAACUGAAAAUUCAAGCAUCCUCAUCUUGAAUUGGAAGUGGUUUUAAGCACAUCAGUUUCUAGGAUUUCCGGUUGGUAGUAACUCUACUUUAAAUCCCUUAUUCGCUGCUCCUGACCCUUGAUUAUAAUUCUCGUUUAUGUGAGGCUAUGGAGCAUUUGUUCUUAAUAGUCUCAUAGUUCAACUCUCAAUAAUCUAUGUAUAUAUAGCCUCAAGCGUCCAUUCCAAAUAUAACAUCCGGUCCCUAAUCGUUAGGCUCAUUCAAGCCAUCAAAUAUUUCCUUUCACUCACCCAAAUCUCACAACUUUUAAUAUCUCAAAUUGGCGAUUAAACAUUGGAUCCCAUCUUCAACCCUAAGUUCUCGACUUUUUUUUUUUUCUUCCCAGAAUUCAGCCAAUUUAGUUUGGAAUUCCAACUCCUUGUGAAGAAUUUCUAUUUCUAUACGCAUCUCUUCCAAACUUUUCAUUCAUCCAUUUUCUUAAUCCUGACUGUUAGCCUAUCAACAGCUCAAGCAUCUAAAUAAGUAGCAAAUCAGAAUUUGAAACUCAACUAUCCACAACCUGUAAAUUCUCACGCAUCUAAGUCAUCCAGGUAUAUUUACUCUUCCCUCUCCUCGAAUGAUACUUAAGAAAAUCCACACACACGACUAAAGUAAUACCUCUUGAUAUAAUGAUAUGUACUUCCAUUCUAAGGUCUUACUCCCGUGUGUAGUGAAACCAUAAAUUACACGCCAUAUGAAACAAGUUCCAAAUCCUAACAAAAAAAAACUGUUACGCACUAGCAGGACCAAAAUCCCUUUCCUCAAAAUUUUGUCUAAAUCAAACCAAUCAUGACUUACAAGAUAAGGUCAAGACUUUUGAUGUAUUUUGAAUGUAUCUGUGGCAAAAUGCGAUUCAAAAUUUUCAAAAUUAGAGUUAAAGAUACAAAUUUUUCUUCACGACCCAAAACUAAAUUUUCUUAGUAAGAGAUUUCAAAUAAUGUUUAACCACAAUCAUCAAUACAUAUUUAAAAUCUCUCAAAUAGAUUUAAGAAUAUUAAUCAUGCAACUUAAUGCAUGAUUUUUAAAACAUAUAUAUAAUAAUCAUAACAUAUACAAGGAGGGUGUUCCGACACUUUUCCUCAAAGUUUCGAGUUAAAUCUAUGUUCGAGUAAGGCGUAUAUUUUAGAAAAUACCUUUAAGAAAGAUAGGUAAACAUGUAGGUUCAUAUUCGCAUAACCUGUGAUCCAAUACCUUUACCACCUUUUAUCCAACCAAGAGUUAACUCUACUGGUACAUAAAACCCGAUUAUUUCUAAUAUCUGAUUCAUAACAAAUAGGCAUUCAUGUUCCUAAGAAAGAUUCGAACUUGAACUCUAUCUGAUUUCGAGUCUCAAACGAGUUCAAAAUGUGUAUACAUACAUAUAUAUAUAUACAAAUUUUGUGAAAAGUAAAACAAGUGAAUCUGGGUAUAGUAUUAGUCAAGUAAAAUUGAAAGCGCUUUUGUUGAAGUAGAACAAAUUGGUAAUGAGUUCAGGUCAUCUCACCAAACCCACGAAAUACUUUUGGAGUUCAAACUUUCACAAAAGUUGAAAUAUGGCCACAGGACCAAUCAUAAUAUACGUAUAAAGCAGUUAUUAAAAUUUCACACGGGAAAAUCUCACUAAGUUUCCAACUAGGUUAAUCCAUUAUACACUGGUAUAUCUAAUCUUCUGGUUUUUUUUUCUCGAUUCAUAUUCAGUACUAGAAUCUCAUUAAAUUAUAUAAGACUAUCCAUCAAUUUUUCUCACGAGUACAGGGUUGUCUAAGUUCUCGGCCACGACCCCUUAUUCCUAUUCCUGCUACCAUACUUAAUAGGAGUCUAUAAGCGCAAGAAAAGGAAUAAUUAAUCAUAAAAGAACUUAAUGCAUAUACAAGUUGCAAAAAUAUUUAGAAUCAAGACAUGAUUCUUUACAUGUAUCGAAGGUUAUAGUACGAGUUAAGAAGUCACAAAACAAGCCCAAUAUGUCAAAUACUGUAUAUGGGCAAUUAAGGGUCACAAAAUGUAGAAGUAUAUGCAAGCGGGAUACAAAAGGUCUCACGGCGUGCACCACCCUUCCUAAGUCCUUAAUUAUUCAAUGGGUCCGAAUAUCACUAAUUCCAAUCAGAUCACAUGCCUUUACGAAAUUAGAUCCAAUCAAACCAUAACACAAGCGGAAACCAAAGGUUAUCCAUUCGAAAUUCAAAAUCUUUAAUAAGCAAGCCACCAACCAGAGCACCAUCAUCUCCGAGAAUAACUAGUCUUAGGGUUUUAUAGUUAAAGUCUCAAGCUCCAAGUUCAAACCCAAGAAAUAAGUACAACUUGCUAAGUUACGUGUCAAAUAGAAACCAAGUCAAUUCACACUAACUGCGUGUUCUUGAAUGCGGUUACUCUAUAUCUCAAAGUUCCCUCAAUCCGUACACCUAAAGAUAGGCUCACCCUUCUUGAAAAUCAAGAAUUUUAAAAGAUAAGAAGAGUAUUUAAAGUAACAAAAAUCUUAUCAAGUUCAAAAUUUUCAUUAUAAAAACAUAAGUUCGCCGUUCUUCCGAAAAUUCAAGAUAUUUUUAUUAUUAUUAUUAUUUAUUUAUUUAUUUAUUUGUAAAGCAUAGAUGAAUUCAAGUGUGAGAAUACACCAGUAUACAAUCAAGGGAGAAAAUCUAGUUUAGAAAAUUUUAACCUUGUAUCAGCCCAUCACAUACAAAAUUUCAAUAAACUCAUCAAUUAUUCACAAAUUUUUAAAAUGAAAUUCAAGUAAAAUUCACAUAUUUACCAAAAUCGAAGAAUUACACAUACUUAAAGCAUAUAUAUAUUAUUUCCAAUUAUCGUUUAAAAAUAAAACUCGUACAUCCCCAUUUUUCCUUUAGAAUUUCAAAGCAUAAUUUCUCUAGGAGGUAAAUGAGCAGGAAAAUGCAUUUUAUACCUUUGAACUCUUUCAUCUGGGUUCACAAUCACGAUACAUGGAGUUUGACCAUCAAAUCUCGUUCUCUUAUCUACUUUAGCCAGCACUAAUAAUUGUCUCACUUCUUUCCACACUUACAAGUGUAAUAAUAAUUCAAAUUCGUCCAAUAUUUCACUACUAAUCUCUCAUCCCAUAUUUUCCUUCAAUAUAACAUCAGCUAAUUCCUCAAUUUUUAUUUCUACAAGUCCCAAGUAAGAAACUCUCAAGUAACCAAUUUCUUUAAUCCGUAGGAUACAAUAGACCCUCUAGUUCACAUAAUAUUCAAAUUAAUCCCACAGUCAGGCAUCCUAAACUUUAAGCCUAGGAUACACUAUAAGAUCUAAAGCCUAUGCUCUGAUACCAACUGUGACGCCCCCACUUCUCCCUAAGGCGAACCAAAGGGUAUCCGCGGGACGCCUGCCUAGCUCUCGCCAGGACUCAAGUAAUUCCAUUCAAGCUUAUUAUCGCUCUACCCAACACACGUAAAUAACUUAAAUACAGAAAAUGCGAAAGCGUUCAAGCUUAACAAUAGUCAUCCAUUAUCCAGCCCGCACGUCGGGUGUUCAAAGUACAUCAUAAUUUCCAAAUAUACCGCACGCCCCAAAAGUUACAUUUCAAUUCCAAAAGUACAACCCAAAACCAAGGGCAUAGCCAAAAUAUAAUAGAAAAUCUAAACAAAAGCUCAUCAGGAGGUUUUUUUCCAGUACGCCUCCGAGUUCAAAUCUGCUAAGGAAAACAAAUCUAUAGGGUGAGCAAAACGCUCGUGAGCCCAAGAACACACAUGCAGGCACAUAGUUCAGGUAACAAACCCAAGUAACAGUUCAAGUGAUAACUUGCAAGUAAUUAACAAUGCCAACAAAAUGUAAACAGAAACGAUUCAAGGAUAUGGUAGCUCUCAAGAGUUAAAUUCCACUUGCUUUGCCAGUUCAUUCGUAUAUCUUCCCGUGAUAACUCUCCGUCAACCGGGUUGAUAUUUCCAAACCGUAGAUCACCACUUACUUCUCAUCCGUCCACCAUACACCGCUUCGGGCCCGCACGACAUUUAUGAGGCAAUACUCCACGAGUAUGCCAAGCAAGAUCUCUCCAAUAGAUCAAGCUUAUCAUGUGAAUCUCAUGGCUCACUGAGAUUCCCGACCAAGCCCAUGCCGGCUCGAGUUCCAAGGUCGGCCUAUGAGUUUGAGCGUCCCCCAUGUAUUAUGUAAGUGUCAAGGAGAUUCACUCCAACGACAUAUGCAGCAAUAGCAUACCAUAUCAUGUAUUCAAGCAUUUGACAGGUCUAAGCAUGUAUUUCAGGUCAUGUAAAUCAGGCAAACCAUGUUAAGCAUGAAUCAUUUGUUUCAAAUGAGAACGAGUGCGAUAAAGUACACACUCGACUCCAUUUUUCAAAACCAAGUAGGCUAAGCAUGUAAUUAGGUAAGCCAAGCAUGAAUCAAGUCCAUAGAGUUCAAAUAGUCAUACACUUGACACUCACCAAGCAAAUCAAGAAGAAAUAUUUUCUCGAAAUUCAAGUGUGCACGGUAGGAUCCUCUUGAAGGUUCUCGUGUGCGCCUGGACAAAUAAUAACGUAUUAUCAUUCAUAUAUCCCAAUUAUCAAGAAAGAUUGUACACUAGUACAAUCUAAGGAAAUUCCACGAAAUCGAACCUCAAUUACUCUUAAAUCAAGGUUCAAUUAGAGUUUCUUAAAGUACAGGAGCAUUUGGGUUUUUAUCUUGGAAAUCGAGGUUAAAAUGUUUGCAUAAUGUCGAAAGAAUAAAAAGUUUUUGGAAAUCUCUAUUUCCUUGAAAGUUGGAAAAUUUCAGUUUUGAUAUGGAUCUUUGAAAAAUCGUAUCUCACUCGAUACAAAUCUAAAAUUGGAAAAAUUUAUACCGUUGGAAACCUCUUGGAAAUUACUAAAAGUUCUUAGAAGACACUGUUCCACGAAUCUAAAUGGAAGAUAUUCAAAAAUGAGUUUAAACUUGCUAUCCCAGAUCACCCAGGAUUGAGCCGGGGUUGGUUUUUCGCUAACUUUGGAAAUUUGGCAGAAUUCACUCGUUGCAAACCAGCCCUUGAAAUUUAUAGCUUAAUUAGAGGUGCAAGUAAGGUUUAGGGCAGAAUAAACGGAUCGAGAAUCAGAGUUUCGAGCACCAAGAUAUGGUAGCUCAAAGUUGGGAAAAAUUCAAGACUGUUACAAAAUUUCCAGAUUUGGUUCCGACUUUGGACCUUUUGUUAAGUGUCGAAACGGACUUGAAUUGACACCAAAUUUUGCAUUAUGGUACUCCUAUAUGAAAGGUAUUUCUCUAUCAAAGUUCGUGGAAAAAUACCUUCAGGAAGGUGGUUAACCAAUCAACCAAAGUUUGGAAAAACUCUCAAGGCAAUCUGCCCUUAUUCCUUUUCUUCCCAAAUCCAAUCGUUUGGCUAAGAAAAUCCUCCAAUCAAGGUUCAUAUGUGAAAGGAAAGUUUAAGAAACAUUCAUGGUAUAUUUGGUAGGUGUUUAGUAUCAAGAAAUUCAUUUAGUAAGACCACCACAAAUGUCACGUCAAAUCUGUCCAAAUCCAAGGCUUUCAAGAACAAAACAGUCACCGUAUUUUGAUCAUAACUCACUCAAUUUAACUCGGAUUUGAGCAUGGUUGAUAGUGUUAGAAAAUACAUGCAUAGAACUAUAAUUUCACAGAAGAAAUCGUUUUAAGUUUCAGCAUGCAACUAUCUCGAAAUUAAGCCUAAAGUUACAGCAUCAUCAAAUCAUUUCGGCAGAACGGCGAAACAGGACAACUGAAUUCAGAUGAAUGGUGUGGUUCACACACAUGGAACCAGAAUGUGCAUUAUACACCAUUGGAAACAUGGGAACGUCUAGUUUCAAAUGCCGCUAACGGAACUCGAUUUCGACUUCGGAGUACGGAGUUAUGGACGAAACACGAACACUGGUCUGGUUACGACGGCAACCGUUUCCAGAUUACUAGCUUUGGAAAGUAAAUUCUUUUGAUCAACCAAAACUCAAUAUUUUUCAACGAAAUUUUGUACAUAACUUCUACAACAUGUAAACAACACAAUCAAGCCAUUAAAUCCUCAAAUAUCUGCAGUAAAGUGGCCGAACAAACAGGGGCAAAAUGGUCAAACUUGGCCAUUGCACUCAACGUGAGUUUCCAGUAUUUUUCCUUCAACAAAUCACUAACUUAAACACUGAUCCGAUAUCAUAAACUUCAUCAAGCACAAAAUCAGCAACAACCCAAGAGUGGGAAUUCAUAGAGCCCACUUUUUUUUCCGACAAUACAAGCUACUAAAGUGAAGAUUUCAGCUCAAAUGCAUAAAUCAACCUCCAUAAGACAAGUUUAAGGUAGUUGAUCAUUACCUACUUUGAUGGUUGUUCAAAUCAGAAAAUUUCGGUCCCUUUGAAACCUGAAAAAAACCGUGAAACUCCUCCCUUUUUCAGCUUAAAGUGUUGUCCAAGUGUAGAGUUAAGUGUAUGUGAAGUUUUGGUUGAAUCUAUGGAGGUUUUGGUAGUGAUUUGGUGAAUUUGUAGAAGGAAUGGUGAAGCUGUUACGGCUGAAGCUAUCCGUCCAUUGCAGCUAGAAGAAAUGAGAUGCGGUUCUGGUUUCCUUUGCGUACAAAAGACGCUUGACGUCUAAUAUUUUAAAUACGUCAAAUCAAUUACAACUAGUGCCCUACGCGCGCGUUUUGUGUUCGAUUUCUCUUACGUUUGUUGCACUAGUACACUAAACCUCUAGUGCACUUACAUUCAUAUAAAUAUUAUUCAUUCUUAAUUGUCCCAAAAUAAUGGUUCAAAGUCCCUCAAUUAAGCGCGCACGUGAAAACACGUAUUUCUAAUUUAGGCGCAAUAAAAUUGAAACCUUUGAGAAAUUCUUAUAACGAUCGUACCACUAGCUAUUACUUGUGUGUUUAAACCUAAAAUUGUCUAUUUUAGGACCAUUGUAUAGGUCUCAAAUUUUUGAGCUUAUUGUACUCCCAAUUGGCUAAAGUGUUUAGACACGUUUUCACUUUUUCGCUAAACAAGCUUAUAAGAAAAUAUUUGUUUAUUUAUCUAUAUUUUUAUUUUAUUUAUUUUUAAAAUGAGACGCUUUAGAAAUAUAACGAAACUAUAAAACCAUGUACUUAGGUCUGAAAAGGCUAGAAAAUAUUAUUCGUGGCAAAAAUCCAAAUAAAUAAUUAAUUUAGCCAAAAUUAGGGAUUUUAAAAUAAUAAUUUUACGAGUCCUCAUGUGAAUUAAGUAUUAAUUCCUUCAUUAACCUUUCUUAAUCUAUUAUUGAUCGUUCUUAAUUCUCCAAUAAAUAAUACACUCCCGAUUCAAGUAUGGCCUAGAAAAACAUGCACCCGUCGUUCCGGACUAAACAAAUUUUCGAAAAGCGAAUUUUUCAACAAAACGCUUUAAAAAUAUAAAGAGGCGUCAUUCCAUAUAAAUGGAUUUAAAAUGGUCGAAAUAAAUAAUUCUUCGAAAAUGAGUGAAUAAUCAUUUAAAUAUUCCAGUAAUAUUCUAUAAAAAUAUGAAAAUUUUCGGGUUCUCACAGAACCUCCCAUGACCUAAGCCGCGCGAGAGAUUUAUUUCUCCCUCUGUAGUUGUCCGAAGUUCAAGGAAGGGAUUUUCCCUUCUUUUUUGGAAAUUGCUAUUUUUUCAAAAUUAAAACAGGACUCCCCUCAAAAUAAAAUAAAAUAAUGUCUAUUACAAUUAAGUUUCUUCAGCUUCUCAAGCGAAACCCAGUACUUGAAGUGGCUCCCGUGCGACGAAUCUUCUAAAUUUCGAUUUCAAGCACUUUUCAGUACCAAUUCAUGCGGUUAGCACCAAAACAAAAUAUCAGUAGAAUCCAUCCAAUUAAUGAAAAUAUUUAGUCAAAUAAUUGUGCAAUAAUGCCCAAAAUACCCCACUAAAAUGCACCCUAUCACGACUAGAUUCUAAGCGACAUCUAAGCAACUAAAAUCCUAUUGCAACUCUGGCAAUGAAUAUCAUCUUCCAACUCCUGUGCCAUCUCUCAAGUAAGAUGAAUCUUGGAAAAAUCUCCUAUCUAAGGCUUUUCUCAGAGUAUCUUUUAUGAUUUUUUUCUUAAAAGAAACUAUGAUGAAUUUGUUGCUCUAAUUUAGCAUCCCAUUGAUUUUCUUUUGUGUCUUUUUCUGAAAAAAGAAUCUAUGAUGAAUUUGGUGCUCUGGUUUAGCAUCCCAUAGAUUUUUUAUAAUCACCGAACUAAUUUUGCUUGAGUUUUAUGGUUUUCCUCAGUAUAAUGCUUUACUGUUUUUAUUUUCCUUUUCCUACGAGUAAUGGAUGCUCUUAGUUGCCUACAUCUCUAACAAUUUAUGCCCUUUCUUUGGCAGUUAUUAUAGAGGAAUUAGGACUUGCGUCCUUAAUUAUUUGCCUCAAUUGAUUAAGGUUCGAAGAAUUAUUAGUAAUUUUUAACGUUUAAAGAAUUGUUAUAGUUUUUAUGUGAAUUUCCAAUCAAUUGGUGUUUUAAAUUGUUUGGAUUUGGUUGUAAGUACAUAGGCUAUUCUGAUUUCCUGUCUAGUGAACAUUAUUUGUUGGGUUUCAUUUGACUUGUUCUGGGGUCAAGUGAAGUAGAAGUUGAAACAUUUGCAAGUUUUUUGGGGAUAUUGUCUAUCAAACUUAAGGAUAGAUCAAAUGUUUUUAUCGUUUCCCACAUCUUUUGGCAUAAUUAUUUGCAUAUACAAAGUCAUUAGUUCCUUAUAUGUGAUGAAUUUAUAACCCUCGGCUUUUACCUGAGGAGUUAAGAUUAACACUUUUAUGUUGAAUUGUAAGUUUUUGGGUCUUUAAGUACAUUAGGACAUUGUUGGCUACUUCACAAUUGGAACUAAUGGAAUCAUUUCAAUAUUACUAGGUUUUCUGCCCUGAUGCUAUGCGUCAGGUAGCUAGGAUUUGUUAUUUUACUACAUUGGAUAUGAGUCUGAAAAAUUGGAGUGUGGAAAGAGUAGUUCAAAUGACAAGAAAAGUUGUGGUAGUCAAUAACUGGUUCACGCAUAUUAAAAGCUAUGAUGGCCACUGGCGCAUCAUUCUCUCUCCGAUGCUGAGCAGCAGCAUGUUGUUCACGUCUCCUCUAAUUUUUUUCAGCUUAAACCUCUUCUAAACUUUUGUAUACUCUAUUCCGACCCAUUCUCAAAUCAUUAAUCUACACCAUAGAGAAAGGAAACAAAAAGCACAACCAACCAUUUAACUGAAUAAUAACUAUUACGGUUAUAUUGAUGCAGUCCAUUUAACAAGAAAAAGAGUAACUCUUGCUCAAUCCCAAGCAGCAGCUUUAAUUUGUUGCUUAAUUUAAGCUAUACAAACCAAUAAAACAGAGCAUAACUCACAUUAAACAUCUGCAAAACACCUAAGCACCGAUGCACAAUUCACCUGCUCCUUCCCAAAUGCAAUCACACUAAACAUUUGCAAAACACCUAAGCACUGAUGCGCAAUUCACCUGCUCCUUCCUCGAUGCAAUUAUUUACAAUCUAGUAGACAACUCAACAGGAAAACGAGGAAAGAAAGAAACACUAGAUAGAGAAGGAUAAGAACAAAGCAGAACAAACAUAGGAGAACGAGGAAGUGAAAAAACACCAGGUAGAAAAUGGCUAAGAAAAGAACAAGAGAAGGUAAUGGAGAGAAGGCUGAGAAAAAAAUAAGAAAAGGUGAUGGAGAUUGCAAAACCUUGAAACAGUGCUUGUUGCAUCUAGCCUCUAAUCACCACUAAACUUGUUGCCAUCCGAGAACAACACAUGGGGAGUGAUGAAUUUCCAGCAAAACCACUCCCACCCAAUGCCAAAAGACCACAACACCCCUAAGUCUUAAGAAAAUCAUAGCAUAACCAGACCAUUAGCACUGUUCACAAGCCAUUCGCUCUUUAUAUAUGUAAGAUGUAUCAUAAGCUGAACUUCCCUUUGGGAUUUGUCAGUGGUCUACUUUUUCUAUUGUGAUAGUUCUUGCCAUAAUGAAAAACUAGGUGAAUGAUGUUUUCUAUUGACUGUUCAUCACUUAGCUUUGUGAAUUUUGAUGACAUAAUAUUCAUGUUGCUAUUUUUCUUUAUGUUAUGUGUGUGAAAUUUAAUGUUAAGAAAUGAGUAGAUGUCCAAGACAAGUUUCAGCUGAGAAAACCCGUGUUAUCCAUAAGGGAACUAUCCCAAACUUCUAAAUUUUGUUGUCUUAGAAGUGGGAAGCUCUUUGAUUGUUCCUCUUGAGUUGAUACGCUUGUCUAUUGUUAAAACUGAAGUUUCCAAUGCUGAAAGAAUGCAUAGCCUAUGUAUGUUUCAGUUGCCGGUUCUCAUUCGUGCUUGGAACAUGAAUUCAAGGAUAACUUUUGAGUUGUGGUUGUAUUUAAGAAUAAUAGUUGUGUUGGUUUUGAGCAAAUCAAAUUAUAAUAAUCUUUAAUUAUUGCCUUAAUCAGCUUAAGUCUAAUCCUAGCAUUCAACAACUAGUAGAACCCAAGACAAGUUUGUGAAGUUAGUGAACUAAUCUCUAACUUGUAAAAACGUGGAGCUAAUUAACAACACCAUUUUCUAAGAGGUAAUAAACUACAUUGAACAAGGAGUCUUUGUAGGGAGUAUUGAGAAAUGGUACUAGAUAUGUUGUAAGUGAUGUUAAACUGCAAAAUCAAGUUAUGCUAGGGUUAGAUUAAUUUCAAAUGCUAGAAACUCAUGGUGAGAGAAGGAGAAACAAAUAGACAUAUUUACACAUUUUAUACUUGAAAAAUCUAUGCAAUUUGAAUGUUAAACUCAAUCUAAAAUGACUUCAUAUGAAAAUUUUACAAGAACAUACUGAUUUACCAAGUUGUAAAAAAGUUGGUCAGUGUAUAAUAAGGCUGUCAAUAAAUUAAAGGAUAUUUAAUUGAGAAGAAAACAAGAUUUAGGGGAAUUGGCACCCACCUCCACAACUUCUUGUCUCUAUUUAGCAAUGAAUCCAGACAAGCACUCCAAAUCGGCACAUAAAACACAUAGUCCAAUCAUAGGAUCUUAAUCAUGAUUUUCAAUGAUCAUCACUCAACAUUUAUAUGCUUUUGAAUAGAACAAUACAUCAUUGUUUGGUUCAUCUUUCUUAGUAGUUGAACUAUAUAAAGUAGUAGAUUAACUCCAAAUCCAGUGCUUUAUGUGCUAUAGAUAUUUUUAGAUUUUUUUCCAUCCUUACUGUUGCCUCAUUCUGAAUAGGAGUGCGGCUUCAAGAUCAUUGGUGCACAAACUUGCAUUCUUUAGUUGUACUUUCAAUUUGCUAUCUUUAAUUUUCACAAUACACUUAAUUAAUGAUUAUACUAAAUGCAUGCAAGUAACUAUUUUUUUUUAAUUUUCAACAAGUAUUAUCUUGUAGAUGCUGGAUAUGGCAUUAACAAUGGGUUCAUUCCUCCUUAUUUUGGAGUUCGAUGAUAAUCUCCCUCGAAAUGAAAAAAGAGCUUUCAAUUUUUGUCACUCUUCCAUGCUAACAACUAUCAAACGAGAUUUUGGUAUUUUAAAGAAACGAUUUAAGGUGGUGGAUAAUGAACCAUUUUGGAAUUUAAAAACCCUUGAUAUGGUCUUGGCAUACUAUAUCAUAUACAAUCACAUCAUGGGUAUAGCUCCAAAUGACAUAUACAUAGAAUUAGUCAUUCAAGAUCAACAAUCUGAAAUUCCAAAUGUUUUAACUGAACAAGCAUCUCAUGCACAGCCUUAUCAAACACAAAGUGAGAGGUGAGUUGAAAAUAGAGAACAUGCAAGGAAAAUGGAUGCAAUUGCAUAUGCUAUGUAUGCAGAUUACACGCGAAGAAUAUAAAAUAGAUAAUUUAGAUGGAAAAUAUUUUGUCUAAAAAUAUUUCUUAAAAAUGACCUGUAAUUUUGUUGUACUUACUUGUUGGGCAGUCUUCCACUAGUCCUUCAUGUAUUUUUAGCAUUGAUAAUUCCAUUUAAGGAUUCAUAGUAUAAUUUGAAUAAAUGUUUGACGAAAAUGAGAAUAUGAUUAUAGUGGACAGAAAGUAUAAGUAAUUGGUAAUGAGAUGAAUGUUUGAGGGUAGGACAUUUGUAACAUAUCAACAAACACUAAAAAAGAAAGUCAAAAAAUAUUUUCACUCAUGAAUCAAACAUUGGAAAAUAUUUUCACUAAUUAACCAAGCACCAGAAAAUUAUGGAAAAGGAAAUAACUUUCCAGGAAAAUAACUUCGAUGGAAAAUAUUUUCCUAGGGAAAAUGUUUUCCGAUCAAUAGAACCGACUAAUUGUAUUUGUCAAUGUAACCAUUCAUAACUACUCUAAGUAUUGCAAGUACCAAAUUAUCUAAUUUUUUUUAUUAAAAAUUACUUAUAAAUUAAAGUUUGUUAAUAAAAAAUUCUUAUAAAAUUUAUUUGUGUAAGAUAAAAUUUUCAAAUUCAUCAAAAAUAAUAAUUAUUUCAAAAUUGCACACACAUUGGGUGCCUUUAACGCUAGUAUUAAUUAUUUAUGAAAUACAUAUGACAUCACGGGUUAGAAACGGCGCUCAUUAGCCCAAUUUUUAACCAUUAAGAGUUCUAGUUCAACAAACAGAUUGAAUUUUUAAAACUUUGUUCGUUGAAUUUUUAAAACCCAGUCCUUUGGUCAAAAACAGAAGGGGUCUAAAUGUAAUUAAAUCUAGGCAAACACAAGCCGACUCCAACCCGCUCCAUUUGUCCUUAUAUAUUAAGCCAUCAACCCCUCGGCCGGCUCCAAAGCUGAUGAAUAUAUCAACACUAUAAAAAUGUUCGUUAACCCUAGUUAAUUACUCUCCUCUGUUAAAUCCCAUUCGUCAUCCCCUUCUCGCUCAUUAUUUUCUCCUGCGCCAUCUUUGGUCCUUAUCUUCUCCUAUCCCGUCUUCUCUUUCUCACAAUUAAAAAAAAAAAAAAAAGAAAAAUCCAGAAUAUCUGUAUCCAUUCAGGUUUUGUAUCCCUUUGCUCAUUAUAUAAAAAGGUGAAGAAUUUCCUUACAAUUUUGGAAAUCAGUUUUCUCUCUAUUUAUCGUCUUUAAAAUCGUAAGCUCUUUUUUCCACCUGUUUUUUGUGUUUUCUUCUAGGGUUUUCGGUUAUUUAGUUCUGGUAGUAAUUAUGCCGCCGCCGACGAGCAAAUCAACGUCGUCGCUGUCUUCCGACGGGGAGGCGCCGGCAUCGAACAAUCUCUGGAUCGGUAAUCUAUCCCCUGAAGUUACCGAUUCGGAAUUGACGGCGCUCUUCGAAAAGCACGGGCCGGUCGAUAGCAUAACCAAUUACGCAUCUCGAAGCUAUGGCUUCGUAUAUUAUAAGAAAAUUGAGGACGCCAAAUCCGCCAAAGAAAAGCUUCAGGGCACAAUUCUCCAUGGGAACCCGAUUAAGAUCGAGUUCGCUAAACCGGUUCGUCAAACUCUUUUGAUUCGUAGUCAUAAAAAUCCCAACAGUAAUAAUUAUUUUAAUUGUUGUUCGAAAUUUUUUGUUUCAGUUUUGAUGUGGCGUUUGAUUAAUAGCACUAAUGGAUUUCUCGAAUUUUCCUCAUUCGAUGCAAAUUUUGCUUUUGCGUUUUUUAUUUUUGAUUUUUUUUUGAGGGGCUUCAGUUUUUUUUGGGUUGGGGGGAGGGGGGCUUGAAGUCGAAUUGAUGAUUCCAACUUUUUAUACGAAUUCAUGGUAAUAGAAAAGCGCGAGAAAAAGAUUGUGGUUCCAUUUCUUUUUCUUUGGGUAAUAGAUUUAUUUUUCUCUACAAAUCAAAGUCAGAGAUUAAAAAAAAGGAGUAAGGUUAACAAUUGUGAAAUUAAAAAGGACUAAUCGACAAAGAAUUGAGUUUUGCUCAAGAUUUUCGAUAAAUUUUCCCUGCGCACCAACCCAAUGACUAGGACGGCGGAAUAGCCGGCGCUGCUAUGAAAAUCUGGGCUGUUGAGAGCAGCGUGAAAGUCUGGGCUGUGUGGAGAAUAUGAACAUGUCACAAUUCAACGUACGUGAAUACUAAUUUCUUACAAUUUAUGCUUCUUCAGAUCUUGUAGAGAAUAUAAACAUGUCACAAUUCAGGGUAAAAGAUGCGUUGGGCUUUUACGCAUCAAAGCUCAAUCUUGUAGAAAUUCAUUGUAUUGUAUGAUCAAAGCUACUGGACAUGUUCCCGAAAUUUUUGCGUUUAUUACACUACCAGUUUCUGGGGUACUUUCCCAUUGGAAGACAUACCUUUUCGCACGAUGACUUGCAAUGUAAUCUAAGUAAUCGUGCGUCCAACUUAUCGAGAAACACGUCUACCCAUUAAAAUUUCACUUGAACAACAAAUUGCAAGCCUUUCAGCAUCUAUAUAUUAGAUAAAAGUACAAAAUAUUGACAGUUAACUGUACGACGAUUUGUUUUGCAUGGAUGUUUAGAUCUUCAGGAGUGUGCCCGUUUUGAUAUGAUGAUGGAUGGCGCAUUAAUAGAUAAGGUCAACCAUGGGUUUUUCCUUCAUGUAAUUUGCUUCUUGAGGUUUAUGAGCUGGAGACGUCAUAGGAUCUGAUCAACUGGAGGUCCGACUUGUCUGGCAAAUGGUCAACAUAUUCUUUUAUUGCACUUUUUACCAACGUUUUCUUGCAUUCAAUGUUUAAGAUGCAAGGAAAAAUGUUAUCACUUUGCGUCCAUUUCUGGUUGAACAGAAGUUGUGUUAAGAAAAUAAAUCAUCAUACCAAAAUCUCUAAUGAACAAAUUGUCGUAUAAAAUACUAUAUGAAAAAAAAAGAACAGUGUGGUUGCAAAUCUUUGGACACUUCUUUAGUAGAUUGUGCAAAAACGAGAUUGCUCCAUUAAGGCCUGACAUUGUAGUAAUUUGAUGCAUGAUGAAUCCUCUUUACAUGCAUGCAUAGGAAUACUGGUCAACUUCUGCUUUUUAAAACUAUUUUUGAAGUGGAGUUUAUUUAAUUGCCUAACAAAUUCGUGGGCCGGUUGUGUUAUUACUUGUUAUAAGGUGCUGUGCUUGCAGUUAUUUUUUGCUUGUUUGUCUGGUGCAAAUAUUACAUUUGGUGUAAACAAUGGGCGUUCAUUGGUCAUAAUUAUCAUUAGAUACCCUGAUUGAGACCAUUUGAACUUUAAGUCCCUUCAUAUCCUACGUUGUCUCUUUUGCCUUUUUCUUCUGUCUUUUUCAUGAUUUUUCUCAAGUUACUAAUCAGCGUAAUUGUUGUAUUGAUGGUAGUUGUUCUUUUCUUUAGCAUGUCUUGCAUGUAUAGUGGACUUCAGAGAAAUAUAGAAUUAGAACAAAAAAUUAAUUAUGCUUUGUGGAGCUGAUGGUGUUCUCUGCCUUGUUCAGACUUGGGUCAAUAUGUAGUUACUCUAUGUGAUGCAUCAUAUUCUAUUAUUUUCUUUUCUCUUUCCUUGUUUUUGAAAUGUCUUUUCUUUUCUCACUACUAUGGUUUCAUUUGUUUUUGAGUUCUAUGACUAUUCUGCCACUUAUUCCCCAGUUGUAUUUCUGAGGCACCGUACUGGUAGUCAGUCAUUGUAAAAGUGUAAACAUGAGUAUAUUUUUUAGUUGUUAAUUUGUGUCAAUAUACAAGAUAGAUCAUCAAAAUAGGCCUGUAAGAUUCAGUUUGUUUUGGUAUUUUGUUGUUCUUAUGUAGUUUCCUUGCAGGCUAAACCAUGUAAGAGCUUAUGGGUGGCUGGAAUAAGCCAAUCUGUCUCAAAAGAAGAACUGGAAGAAGAAUUUACAAGAUUUGGUAAAAUCCAGGAAUUUAAAUUUCUUAGAGACCGUAAUACUGCAUAUGUCGACUUUUCUAGAUUAGAAGAUGCUUCUCAAGCGUUGAAGAAUAUGAAUGGGAGGAGAAUUGGUGGGGAUCAGAUACGUGUGGAUUUUCUUCGAUCACAACCUUCUAGAAGAGUAAGCAUCCAACUGCUAAAUUACCUUAGAAGUUUGGUUAUAACUUCUUGUUGGUGACUUAUAAAAUAUCAUACAUUGGUCAUGAAAGUCAUGGCUUGUACUUGUUCCAUAUUGCUCAUCCUUGUAGCUUGCAUAGAGAGGUUAUAUUGUGUUCACAUAUAAUGCAGGAGCAGUUACCUGAUUUUCGUGAUGCAAGGGAAGGACAUUUCCCCAACAGGAGCAUUGGCCCUCCAGAUACACGAUGGAUGGCACAAGAGUCUAUCCAAGUUGGGUCAAAACGACAUGUACUAUUCAAUCCUUAAAAAUGAUUUAGUUUUUGUCUGCUGUAAUCAGUGAUUUUUGUAGAUCUUUAUGCUUGAAAGGUCUUCAGAUUGGUUUUUUUUUCUGCCAUAACUGUCUUGGAUGCAAAUCUUAUUGAAACCAUUUCUUGUUUCUUUUGGGAUCCAUGAGCUAUCUAAGAACUAAUGCUCUCCUGUACUUCCUUUUCUCCCUUUUGCAGCAAUUCCAGUCUCCAGGAGGGCGGAGGGGAGAUGGUCAACCAAGCAAGGUCUUGUGGAUAAGUUAUCCUCCUUCAGUUCAGAUUGAUGAAGACAUGUUGCAUAAUGCAAUGAUUCUGUUUGGUGAGAUAGAAAGGAUUAAAACUUUUGAAGACAGGAACUAUGCGUUUGUACAAUUUAGAAGUGUAGAUGAAGCACGACUUGCAAAAGAAGGUUUGCAAGGCAAGCUUUUUAGUGAUCCACGAAUCUCAAUUGAGUAUUCAAACAGUGAACUUGCACCAAACAAAGAUUACUUGGGGAAUUAUCCUGGAACCAAAGGGACAAGGCCAGAUACGUACCUGAAUGAUGUUCCAUUUAGGCAUGGACAAAUGGACAUAAUUAGUCAUGAUUCUGGAGUUUUGCCACCUCGUGGAGCCCCUGGACCUGAUGGCAUUAUGAGGCCAUUAGGUCCUCAAGGAAAUUUUGAUCUUCAAGGUGGUCAUCACGCCCAUUUGGGGGGUCCAAAUUGGAGAAGAUCUUCUCCUGCACCUGGCCUGCUGUCUUCACCUUCUGCCAGUCUCAAUCUGCCAAAUAGAUCUGCAUCAAGUGCUUGGGAUGUCUAUGAUGCCAGCCAACUUCAGAGGGAGUCCAAAAGAUCAAGGGUUGAGGGAACUUUGCAAGCUCACAAUUCAUCAUUUUCUGCCAGAAUAACUGAUGACCAAGGGUUGGGUUUGGAUGAACCAUAUGGGCUUCGUACAUACGCAGGUUCUACAGAUCCUCUUUCUAAUUUUGAAGGAAGAAGUCAUCUUAGCCCAGUUGGCAUGCAAAUUUCAGUUGGUGGACUAGGGAAGCGCAUUCCUGAGCCUGAUUAUGUGUGGCGAGGGAUUAUUGCAAAAGGUGGCUCACUUAUUUGCCAUGCCCGUUGUGUUCCUAUAGGGGAAGGUAUCAGUUCUGAGAUGUAAGUAUAUUAUUUUCAAACAACUUCAUUGGUCUUUUUGAUGCUUCUUGCAAACUUUGUGCAGUAUGUGCUUAGUUUGAAUCGGACCGCUCUUUCCUUUAUUUUAUUGCAUGAAGCAUUCUUGAUAACUUAAUUUCCUCCCAUAUAAUAGAAUGUUUACUUUAUUUAGAAUCUGAUGUUUAGUUUAUUUGGGUGGUCUUUUGGGUUUUUCAAGAUCUCGUCAAAGUUCUACUGUAAGUGUGCUAAGUUUUUGUAAUUCUGUUGUGGGGUGGUUUUCACUGGUGUUCUUUUUCUAUUUUUCUCUGUUAAGUAGGUUGUGCAUGGAGUAUUUCUAGUUGCAUAUCAUUUUUUUUUUCCCCGAGUAUCAGCCAUCUAUUUGAGUAUCUUAAAAUUGUUGGAUGGGUUUAGUGCUGAGUGUUCAUCAACUGUAUUUAUUCUGAGUGUGGCAUAUGCUUCACGCAUGGGACAUAGCUAACAAAGAAAAGCUGUGAAUUGUUCACCUGUAGUUUCCCUAUUUCAGAAGUCUGAUUGUUCCAUGAAGUGUUUGUAUGUGAUCCAGGCGGUUGAGUCCAUCUUAGUUCUUGCUGAUUUUCGAAUUUUUCUGCCUUUGAGUUUUCUUCUUUCCAUGAGUUUUUGUUUAUUUAGCUUAUUGCCAACAUUUAUUUGAUUUAAUUCCACUAUUUGCUUGACGUAUGAUAUGUGUUCAUUUUGCAGUCCAGAGGUUGUUAAUUGCACAGCUCGGACUGGGUUGGACUUGUUAACCAAGCAUUAUGCUGAUGCGGUUGGUUUUAGUAUCGCAUUCUUCUUGCCUGACAGUGAAGCUGAUUUUGCUUCAUAUACGGAGUUUUUGAGAUACUUGGGAGCUAGAAAUCGGGCUGGUGUUGCCAAGUUUGACGAUGGCACCACCUUGUUCUUGGUGCCUCCAUCUGAUUUUCUGACCAAUGUUCUUAAGGUUACGGGACCUGAAAGGCUUUAUGGAGUUGUUUUAGAGUUUCCCCAAGCAGCUUCUGCUAGCUCAAAUAUUCCGCCGUCAUUGGUUCAGCCGCAGUAUGUGGAUGCACAGCAGCAAGCUAGUUCUCUAACUGGAUAUAAUGAGAUAGCGCAGGAGGAAAUUGGUAUACAAAUGGGUUAUAACAAGGUAGUACCGGAAGAUAUGAAACCACCUCUGAAAAUGUUGGGCUCCUCUUUGAAUUCUACUCCGCCAAUCAAUAAUGCUGCAGUUUCUCAAGCUGGACUUAAAUUAACACCUGAUCUUAUUGCCACUCUAGCUUCUAUAUAUCAGGGAAACAGUAAGUCAUCUGGUUCAGAAAGUUCAUCAGUACAGUCCGCUUCAACAACAUUGGGCCCUGCAUUAAAUAUUACCCCUGCACCUGAUAAAGGACUUCCACAAGGGUGGCAGCAUGAACGUCAAGUUCCUGAGCAAGCAGGUUAUGUUACACAACAAUUCAACAGCCAGUUUCAUAGCCAAGCACAAUUUAUUCCACAAGUUCAUGCUUAUCCUGUGGUGUCAAACACCCUCAAUCUUCCUGCUCAAGGUGCCCUUGGCUAUAGCCAAAUCCAAGAUCGUGGUUUCAACAUGCAACCUCAAGGUGCUGUGUCCUCUAGACCAAUUGCCUCUGCAACCCCAUCUCAAGGACAGGUUUCAGCCUUGUCUAAUGUUGACCAGCAGCAUCAACUUGGAAUGCCCCAUGAUCCUCUGAAGGGGCAUGGGAUGGCACAGGGAACUGAUGCAUUGAGGUUGUAUGGUUCAUCAGUCCUUCACCAGCCUACAAAUCUUGUAACAUUGGGCAGUGAGAUUAAUGGUCCCAAUGUCCUACAGCAUGCUUCUAUGCCACAAACUACUGAAGCUGAUGUUAGGAAUCAGGUGCAGGAGCAUCAUUCAGCUUUGCAAGGAGCAGGCCAGGAUACAUCUGAGACUGAGGAAGAAAAGAAUAGACGCUAUCAAUCAACUUUAUUAUUUGCUGUCAAUCUCCUUAACAGGGUGCAGCAACCACCUGGAACUCAGGCUGGGCAAGGUUCUGGCAGCUGACAGAAUUGCCCCACCAGGUAAUAUAUCAACUCCUUUGUUUGUCAUCAGUUGGAGUAGUUUUGUGAUAGCUGCUCUUCUACUAUAAUGCAGCAUUUUGGUUUGAUUAUGGGAGGGCAGAGUUAAAUUUUUGCAGUUUUCAUGAUCUGCUGUGUUGCUAUUAUGUGAUUGGUGAACAUGUGCUGUUUUGGUUUUAAUCUCUUUGAAGAGUACGUUCCUAAAUUAGUUGGCUAUAGUUUUCUAUGCCUGAGGCUUAAAAAAAAAUUGAGGUAAGCUAAUGAAUGGGCUGGAAUUGAGUAGGUGGUUCCCUGCAAUGCUGUUUUGAAACAUUCAUUGAAAAUUUUUUUGGGGGGAAUUUGGUGUCAAGGAGAUGCGCUGGGAGUUUCUCAGAAGUUACCUGCAGAUAGAAAGUUACUUGGUCGACAGUUGCCUGCUUUAGGAGUUUAUUUAAAUUUGAAGUCUUCAGGUGAAAUUGUUUAGCUAAUUGCAGUGCAUAUUAGUUAGGCUUGUGGAAUGGAGAAGUUAAAUUAGGUAAUUGAUAGGAGGUGGUGUGAAUUCUGGUCUUUAAGGAUGAUCAUUAAGCAAAAACGGAAGUUGUUGACCGGGAGAAAGAAACAGGAAGUUUGUUGCUGAAAUGGAGGGAAUUAGAACAAACCAGACAGUAUUCUUGUUUUAGUCAUCUACUUUAGGAAGUAUCUGUUACUUACACUUUUCAUGGAUAUCUCUUUAUGGUUGGGGUGCUUUAGCUAAAUUGAACUACAUUCAAGUGUAUUUUUGUCUUUUUCUUUUACUGGAGUUCAGUUGUACAUUCUAAGUUAUUUUGUAGCGGAAUUCAGUGGGACAAAAACAGGAAGUUUGCCACUGAAAGGGGUGGGAGGAAUCUCUUUAGGAUUAGUUUGAUGCAGAUAAAGUUAACUACAUUCAAAUUUAUUUUUGUUGUGUGUUGCUGAAGUGCACUAAUAUAUGUUAGGUUGUUGAAUAUGCCAUAUAAAGACAUGUCUAUUGUAUUUUUGACUUGGCCAAGUGUAAACUGUAUAAUUUGUUUAUUCCUACAGGUUUUGGGCCUUUGUUCCCGUGUUUUAAUAAUGCAUUUCCUGUGUCAUUUUUUUUGGGGCAAAACUUAGUGUUUUAAGUUCCAUGAACUCCAUUAUGAUUAAAUCAGUAUGUUCUAGAAGUUUGCCCUUGUGCUGUCUUUAUGGCAUGGUUGAAUACUUACAACUAGGAAAAAAGUUGGGUGUGUUUAGCAGAUGUUACUGAAGUUGUUUUAGCUGGAUUCAAUGUUCGGUGCAUCUUUUAUGUCAUACUUAUUCAUGAAGUUAAGCUAAAGUAUUAGGGAUUAGAUUGCUCCCUUAGUAC
rnacentral:lncRNA from 1 species